GACGAACGCUGGCGGUGUGCUUCACACAUGCAAGUCGAACGAGGUAGCAAUACCUAGUGGCGGACGGGUGAGUAACGCGUGGGAAUCUGCCCAUAGGUGGGGGAUAACUAGCCGAAAGGUUAGCUAAUACCGCAUAUGCCGAGAGGUAAAAGGAGUAAUCCGCCUUUGGAUGAGCCCGCGUCCGAUUAGCUAGUUGGUAGGGUAAAAGCCUACCAAGGCUACGAUCGGUAGCUGGUCUGAGAGGAUGAUCAGCCACAAUGGGACUGAGACACGGCCCAUACUCCUACGGGAGGCAGCAGUGGGGAAUUUUACGCAAUGGGGGAAACCCUGACGUAGCGACACCGCGUGAACGAAGAAGCCCUUUGGGGUGUAAAGUUCUGUCGGCUGGAACGAAAAAAUGACGGUACCAGCAAAGGAAGCAUCGGCUAACUACGUGCCAGCAG
rnacentral:rRNA from 1 species